CAAACUUGCUUGUUCACGAGAAUCACGUGGGGAGCGUGUUAAAAUUACAGAUUCCUCGGCUCCACCCGCAGACCUACUGAAUCAGAAUCUCGAAGGGAGGCGCUCCGGAACCUGUAUCUUUAACUAGGGCCCGAGAGGAUUCUUACGAUCAGCACCUCAGCAUCCUUCCAGUCAACGCCUGCCCUUUGUGCCUUGCAACCAGAGGAACUGCAACUAGUGCAUUCAGUGAAGGAAUCUUGCUCCUGCUGCUGCUGCUGAAAAUGACUGAGGUCAUGGAGUGGGACCAGGGAAUGGGAGGUACUCUCAUCCCACCUCCACAGACUAACAGACAUCAAAGAGACCUAAAGAUCUCUGUAUACCUGGGACAGUCUACGACUGAAGACUAAGCAUGGCGACCUGACUGCCUUACUGAUCAACUUCCUGCAGAAGCUCACAGGUCCAGCAUGUUCUAGAAGUGGGGGGCUCUGCCAUCAUUCACUCAACAAAUGAGUAUAUUCAGCUCCAACCCAGUGCCAGGAGUUGUACUAGGAGCUGUGGACACAGCACUGAACCAAACAAACCUGCUCCAGGGCCAGAAUCAAGGCUGGAUUCCCCAGAAGGCAGACUAAGGAAGUGUCUAGGUCACCAGCAGAGAAGAGGCACCAAAAACAAAAGAAUCAAGAAAAAAAUCUCGGAAACAGUUUGACAUUUGAUUUUUUUUAAAGUAGUCCUCAUGGGAAAAGUCAGAAUUUUGUUGUACUUCCUUCCAUUCAUUUCCUGAUUGCAUGUUGCUUUUGCUCUGAAUCACGUGUGGGGGAGUGUCAGCAUAAUCCUUUUGAUGCUUGUGCUUGUAUGGGUCUGGAUUCAGUCCUGGGCAAAUGUCACCAUCUCUGCCUCACAAAGACCCCACUGAAGUCUAGCAGGAGGGACUGACCUAAGGAGAGACCCCUCCUCAUCGCAGUUGUGGCUCCUAGGGUUGAAUACAGCUCUGACCACAAGGUGGCAAAAGAGUAUAUGACACUUCUUUUUAUGUUUGUUUUAUAUGUUUAUAUAAAACUAUUGGUUUAUAUCAAAAUACUCUCUAAAAAUAUGUUUUAACGUUGUGCUCCUUCACACAUUUUUAGGUUGACAUCUAAAAUUUUGUAUCAGAAAUGUCAGCUGAAAAAAUAAUGUGAUUUCUGACAAAUAUCAAUAUUCACAAACAAAACUGUUAUGUCAUGAUUUUACAUAAAACUGGUGAAACCUAAAUCCUUGAGUGAUUUGAGAGCCACCAUCAUCAGUUUUAAAAAUUCAUAACUGAGCUCCUCUUUGAUGGUUGGAAAUUGUACAUUUUCCCUUUUCUCCCUGAGUUCUUAAUUCCAUUCUAUUCUUCUAACAGAAUUUUAUCCCAAUAAUUUAUAUUUUUGCACUUGAAAUGAUUUUGUUGAUUAUCCUAUUUCCCUGCAGCAAAAAUAUGUAUGUAUUUUGCUAUUUAAGUGCCUUUUAAAUUUCCUGUGAUUCUAAAGCUCUAUGUGUUGUUUAAAAUUUCACUCUCAUUUGAGUUAUG
rnacentral:lncRNA from 1 species